rnacentral:rRNA from 1 species
CCUACGGGAGGCAGCAGUGUGGGAUAUUGGACAAUGGGGGAAACCCUGAUCCAGCGACGCCGCGUGAGUGAAGAAGUAUUUCGGUAUGUAAAGCUCUGUCAGCAGGGAAGAAAGAAAUGACGGUACCUGACCAAGAAGCCCCGGCUAACUACGUGCCAGCAGCCGCGGUAAUACGUAGGGGGCAAGCGUUAGCCGGAAUUACUGGGUGUAAAGGGAGCGUAGACGGUGAUGCAAGUCUGGAGUGAAAGGCGGGGGCCCAACCCCCGGACUGCUCUGGAAACUGUGUAACUUGAGUGCAGGAGAGGUAAGCGGAAUUCCUAGUGUAGCGGUGAAAUGCGUAGAUAUUAGGAGGAACACCAGUGGCGAAGGCGGCUUACUGGACUGCAACUGACGUUGAGGCUCGAAAGCGUGGGGAGCAAACAGGAUUAGAUACCCCAGUAGUC